rnacentral:rRNA from 1 species
AUUGAACGCUGGCGGCAGGCCUAACACAUGCAAGUCGAGCGGAGCGGCGGACGGGGGAGUAAUGCCUAGGAAUCUGCAUGGUGGUGGGGUAUAACGUCGGGAAACGGGCGCUAUUAACGCAUACUAUCAGAGGAGCCUCGGUCGGAUUAGCUAGUUGGUGGGGUAAAGGCCUACCAAGGCGACGAUCCGUACCUGGUCUGAGAGGAUGAUCAGUCACACUGGAACUGAGACACGGUCCAGACGCCUACGGGAGGCAGCAGUGGGGAAUAGUGGACAAUGGGCGAAAGCCUGAUCCAGCCACGCCGCGUGUGUGAAGAAGGUCUUCGGAUUGUAAAGCACUGUAAGUUGGGAGGCGGUACCAACAGAAUAAGCACCGGCUAACUUCGUGCCAGCAGCCGCGGUAAUUC